rnacentral:tRNA from 1 species
CAGAAAAUAGUUUAAGUUUAAUAAUAAGAAUAUUAAUUUUGGAGAUUAAAGGUAUAUUAUAAUAAUUAUAUUUUUCUGA